CCUACGGGGAGCAGCAGUGAGGAAUAUUGGUCAAUGGGCGAGAGCCUGAACCAGCCAAGUCGCGUGAAGGAUGACGGCCCUACGGGUUGUAAACUUCUUUUGUCAGGGCGCAAUUGGGUCCACGCGUGGGCUUAGCGAGAGUACCUGAAGAAAAAGCAUCGGCUAACUCCGUGCCAGCAGCCGCGGUAAUACGGAGGAUGUGAUCGUUAUCCGGAUUUAUUGGGUUUAAAGGGUGCGUAGGCGGAAUAUCACGUCAGCGGUAAAAAUUCGGGGCUCAACCCCGUCGUGCCGGUGAAACUGAUGUUCGUGAGUGGGCGAGAAGUAUGGGGAAGGCGUGGGAUAGCGGUGAACUGCAGA
rnacentral:rRNA from 1 species